rnacentral:rRNA from 1 species
AUUGAACGCUGGCGGAAUGCUUUACACAUGCAAGUCGAACGGCAGCACGGGGGCAGCCCUGGUGGCGAGUGGCGAACGGGUGAGUAAUACAUCGGAACGUGCCCGGUCGUGGGGGAUAACGUGGCGAAAGUUACGCUAAUACCGCAUACGAUCUGAGGAUGAAAGCGGGGGACCUUCGGGCCUCGCGCGAUCGGAGCGGCCGAUGUCAGAUUAGGUAGUUGGGGGGGUAAAGGCCUACCAAGCCGACGAUCUGUAGCUGGUCUGAGAGGACGACCAGCCACACUGGGACUGAGACACGGCCCAGACUCCUACGGGAGGCAGCAGUGGGGAAUUUUGGACAAUGGGCGCAAGCCUGAUCCAGCCAUUCCGCGUGCAGGACGAAGGCCUUCGGGUUGUAAACUGCUUUUGUACGGAACGAAAAGGCUCUGGCUAAUACCUGGGGCUCAUGACGGUACCGUAAGAAUAAGCACCGGCUAACUACGUG